AAUCCAUAGGUUAAUGAGGCGAACCGGGGGAACUGAAACAUCUAAGUACCCCGAGGAAAAGAAAUCAACCGAGAUUCCCCCAGUAGCGGCGAGCGAACGGGGAGGAGCCCAGAGCCUGAAUCAGCAUGUGUGUUAGUGGAAGCGUCUGGAAAGGCGCGCGAUACAGGGUGACAGCCCCGUACACAAAAGCGCAUGUGCUGUGAGCUCGAUGAGUAGGGCGGGACACGUGGUAUCCUGUCUGAAUAUGGGGGGACCAUCCUCCAAGGCUAAAUACUCCUGACUGACCGAUAGUGAACCAGUACCGUGAGGGAAAGGCGAAAAGAACCCCGGCGAGGGGAGUGAAAAAGAACCUGAAACCGUGUACGUACAAGCAGUGGGAGCACAGGUUUACCUGUGUGACUGCGUACCUUUUGUAUAAUGGGUCAGCGACUUAUAUUCUGUAGCAAGGUUAACCGAAUAGGGGAGCCGGAGGGAAACCGAGUCUUAAUUGGGCGUUAAGUUGCAGGGUAUAGACCCGAAACCCGGUGAUCUAGCCAUGGGCAGGUUGAAGGUUGGGUAACACUAACUGGAGGACCGAACCGACUAAUGUUGAAAAAUUAGC
rnacentral:rRNA from 1 species